AGUGAACGCUGGCGGUAGGCCUAACACAUGCAAGUCGAACGGCAGCACAGUAAGAGCUUGCUCUUACGGGUGGCGAGUGGCGGACGGGUGAGGAAUACAUCGGAAUCUACUUUUUCGUGGGGGAUAACGUAGGGAAACUUACGCUAAUACCGCAUACGACCUACGGGUGAAAGCAGGGGAUCUUCGGACCUUGCGCGAUUGAAUGAGCCGAUGUCGGAUUAGCUAGUUGGCGGGGUAAAGGCCCACCAAGGCGACGAUCCGUAGCUGGUCUGAGAGGAUGAUCAGCCACACUGGAACUGAGACACGGUCCAGACUCCUACGGGAGGCAGCAGUGGGGAAUAUUGGACAAUGGGCGCAAGCCUGAUCCAGCCAUACCGCGUGGGCGAAGAAGGCCUUCGGGUUGUAAAGCCCUUUUGUUGGGAAAGAAAAGCAGCAGGUUAAUACCCCGCUGUUCUGACGGUACCCAAAGAAUAAGCACUGGCUAACUUCGUG
rnacentral:rRNA from 1 species